UAACGAAUCUUCCGCAAUGCACGAAAGUGUGACGGAGCGACGCCGCGUGGAGGACGAAGUUCUUCGGAAUGUAAACUCCUGUCAGGGGAAAGAAAGUUCUGAUCUACCCCAGAGGAAGAGGCGGCUAACUCUGUGCCAGCAGCCGCGGUAAUACAGAGGCCUCGAGCGUUAGACGGAAUCACUGGGCUUAAAGCGUGUGUAGGCGGAAGGGUAAGUACCUUGUGAAAUCCCACGGCUUAACCGUGGAACGGCUUGGUAUACUGCUUUUCUUGAGCAAUCUAGGGGCGAGUGGAACAGAUGGUGUAGCGGUGAAAUGCGUAGAUAUCAAGAGGAACACCUGAGGUGAAGACGGGUUGCUGGGCUGACACUGACGCUGAGGCGCGAAAGCCAGGGGAGCAAACGGGAUUAGAUACCCCCGUAGUCCCUGAGCGGGCUGGCAAGGCGCAU
rnacentral:rRNA from 1 species